AUGGAAUCGGCGGGGAACGACCGGAGGGACGCGGCGCUGGGGAGCCUGGCGGUGCUCCCCGACGAGCUGCUCUGCGCCAUCGUCGACCUCCUCCAGCCCACCGACAUCGGCCGCCUCGCAUGCGUCAGCAGUGUCAUGUACAUACUUUGCAACGAGGAACCUCUCUGGAUGAGUAAAUAUCUUUCUGUUGGUGGUCAUCUUGAGUACAAAGGUUCUUGGAAGAAAACAACAUUGUCUAGGCUUAGUCUUUGCUCCGGAAAUAGUGAGCUUGAGCAGAAGGCUCGUCAUUUUGAUGGAUUCAAUUCCUUGUUCUUAUACAGGAGAUGGUAUAGAUGUUUUACUACUUUGAGUAGUUAUUCCUUUGACAAUGGACAUGUGGAAAGAAAGGAUGACCUUUCUUUGGAUCAUUUCCAUUCUCAGUAUGAUGGAAAAGGCCCAGUUUUGCUUGGUAAGCUGGCUGAAACCUGGCCAGCAAGGACUAAAUGGACAAUUCAGCAGCUGGUGCAUGAUUAUGGUGAAGUUACAUUUAGGAUAUCACAGAGAAGCCCUAAGAAGAUAAUAAUGAAACUGAAAGACUAUGUUUCUUACAUGGAACUCCAGCAUGACGAAGAUCCUCUUUAUAUAUUUGAUGAUAAGUUUGGAGAAACAACACCAGCACUAUUGGAAGAUUACAGAGUCCCUCAUUUAUUUCAAGAAGAUCUUUUUGGUGUCUUGGAUUAUGAACAAAGACCUGCUUUCAGAUGGCUUAUUAUUGGACCAGAAAGAUCAGGUGCCUCUUGGCAUGUUGAUCCAGGAUUAACCAGUGCGUGGAAUACUCUUCUUUGUGGCCGAAAAAGAUGGGCACUGUACCCUCCAGGAAGAGUGCCUGGUGGUGUCACGGUACAUGUAAGUGAUGAGGAUGGUGAUGUUGACAUUGAAACUCCAACGUCUUUGCAGUGGUGGCUUGAUAUCUAUCCUCAUCUUGCUGAACACGAGAAACCACUGGAAUGCACACAAUUACCAGGAGAGACUAUAUUUGUUCCUAGUGGAUGGUGGCAUUGUGUUCUAAACCUUGAGACUACUGUUGCAGUUACACAAAACUUUGUCAAUCAAUCAAAUUUUGAGCAUGUAUGUCUAGACAUGGCACCUGGUCACUGUCACAAAGGAGUUUGUCGUGCUGGCUUACUUGCUGUUCCGGGAAAAUCUGUUAGAGAUAUUGAAAAUCAUCCACCUGGAACAAUGAGUGCAUGGAACCACAAUGACAUGACUCGUGCAGAAAAAAGACUGAAAGGUUCAGGGUCCGUAAGAGCUUCAAACAGUGCAAAUCAGUGUGCUUCGUUUGAGUUCUCAGACGUCCAUGAAAGUUUGGAGAACCAAGUUUUCUCGUAUGAUAUAGGUUUCUUAUCCCAAUUUCUUGAGAAAGAAAAAGAUCACUAUACUUCUGUCUGGAGUCCUACUAAUCCAAUUGGCCAGAGAGAAGCAAGAGAAUGGCUGCGAAGGCUAUGGGUUCUUAAGCCUGAACUGAGAGGACUAAUAUGGAAGGGUGCAUGCCUAGCAAUAAGUGUGGACAAAUGGUAUGCAUGCUUAGAGGAAGUAAGUGCAUGUCAUAGUUUACCACCACCGUCAGAGGAUGAGAAGCUUCCUGUUGGCACAGGUAGCAACCCAGUCUUCAUUGUUUCCGACAAUGUGAUUAAAAUCUAUGCUGAAGGAGGCCUGGGUUAUUCUGCUCAUGGUUUAGGCACAGAGCUUGAGUUCUAUGAUCUUCUGCGAAAAGUUGGCUCGCCUUUGAUCAACCACAUUCCUGAGAUCAUUGCAAGUGGAUUUCUUGUGUACGAAGAUGGCGUCUACAGAACAGUCCCAUGGGAUGGAAAAGGAAUGCCAGAUGUUUUGGCUAAAUACUAUCCUCUGGAGCUUUCUUAUGCAAACAGCUGUUUUCCUCUUGGAUUAUGGAGCAAACAACAGUUUGGAAUGGAUAGUUCCACUGAAUGUUCAAACAAACCUAUUUGGCCUUACAUGGUUACCAGAAAAUGCAAAGGGGAUAUCUUUGCUCGUGUCCGUGAUACAUUGUCCAAGGCUGACCUUUUGAAUCUGGCAUCAUCCUUGGGAGUUCAAAUGCGAAAUAUCCAUUUAUUACCCCUUCCACAUGGGGAACCAUUACCCAAACCUGAAGACAAUAAUGUGAGAGACAGUGAUCCACCUGAAUGGAAACAAGUAAUUUCUACUCUAAACGGAAGAAAGAAUAAUAUAAAGAAGCACCUAGCUAACUGGGGGGGUACUGUCCCAACAGUUUUAAUUGAGAAGGCUGAAGAAUAUCUCCCUGCUGAUAUGAGCUCUCUAAUCAAGUUUGUUAAGGAUGACGAUGGUGACUCAGUGUACACAUUCCCUUGUUGGAUACAUUCAGAUAUUAUGGACGAUAACAUUCUUACUCAGAGGUCCCUCACUGAUGCCAAAAGCACUGGUGACAGAGAUCUGGAGAAACUGGAUGCAGUUAAUAUAAUUGACUUCAGUGAUCUGUCCAUCGGGGAUCCUCUAUGCGACUUGAUUCCACUGCACCUGGAUGUUUUUCGUGGCGAUAUUGAUCUUCUCAGGGAGUACCUAAGAAGCUACCAGCUUCCUUUCCUGAGAGGGAAAUCAAACAAUGAUAUCUACAAGUCAGUGGGAAAUUCGAAGUUCAGCACUGCAUCAUAUCGCGCGAUGUGCUACUGCAUGCUGCACGAGGACAACGUGCUGGCGGCUAUAUUUGGGCUGUGGAAGGACCUGCGAGCUGCAACGUCGUGGGAGGAGGUCGAGCACUUGGUUUGGGAUGGCCUCAACCGAUACCAGCAAUCGUCGCCUACACUCUCUAGCUAG
rnacentral:rRNA from 1 species